AAGGAAGAGCAUAGUGCCAGACCUAGGUGCCCUCCUGGGAAUGUUCCAGGAGGGCAGGAGUAGGAGGAGGAGUGUUAGAGUAGAGGGGAAAUGAUGAGAGCAGAAAGGGUAUCAUAAAGGAACCUCAGGGGUGAUAUAAGUGGACACAGACAUAUGUCACAAGGGCACGGGUUUAGAACAGGAAGGCUGUUAGUCUCGCUGUGUCACCCAGGCUGGAGUGCAGUGGCAGGAUCUUGGCUCACUUCAACCUCCACCUCCCGAGUUCUGCCUCAGCCUCCCAAGUAGCUGGGAUUACAGGUCCAGUCACUCCACGCUUGCAGAGUCCAAUUAACAAGAGCAAGUUCUGGUAGAAAGAAGGUGACUUUAUUCCAGAGCUCAGGUGUUUGAACUGAUGUCUGAUGAGGAUGAAUCCAGCGACUACCUCUGCCUGUCCAUCCUGGGCCUCUUCUGUUGCCUUCCCCUAGCCAUCCCAGCCGUGAUCUUUUCUUGCCUGACAAAGAACUACAAUAAAUCCAGUGACUAUGAGCUGGCAGCCAAGACCUCCAAACAAGCCUACUACUGGGCCAUCGCGAGCAUCACUGUGGGAAUCUUAGGUACCAUCUUGUACACCUACCUGAUAUACUUACUUAGAUUGUAAACUGCUUCCCAGCUCUUGAACAAACCACCAAAUAUACACCACAGUGCAAUUU
ensembl:lncRNA LINC01766 long intergenic non-protein coding RNA 1766